GAUGAACGCUGGCGGCGUGCCUAAUACAUGCAAGUCGAGCGAACAGACGCGGAGCUUGCUCCUCUGACGUUAGCGGCGGACGGGUGAGUAACACGUGGAUAACCUACCUAUAAGACUGGGAUAACUUCGGGAAACCGGCGCUAAUACCGGAUAAUAUAUUGAACCGCAUGGUUCAAUGGUAAAAUACGGUUUUGCUGUCACUUAUCGAUGGAUCCGCGCCGCAUUAGCUAGUUGGUAAGUUAACGGCUUACCAAGGCGACAAUGCGUAGCCGACCUGAGAGGGUGAUCGGCCACACUGGAACUGAGACACGGUCCAGACUCCUACGGGAGGCAGCAGUAGGGAAUCUUCCGCAAUGGGCGAAAGCCUGACGGAGCAACGCCGCGUGAGUGAUGAAGGUCUUCGGAUCGUAAAACUCUGUUAUUAGGGAAGAACAAAUGUGUAAGUAACUAUGCACGUCUUGACGGUACCUAAUCAGAAAGCCACGGCUAACUACGUG
rnacentral:rRNA from 1 species